ACGUACACUCCUACGGGAGGCAGCAGUGGGGAAUAUUGGACAAUGGGCGCAAGCCUGAUCCAGCCAUGCCGCGUGAGUGAUGAAGGCCCUAGGGUUGUAAAGCUCUUUCACCGGUGAAGAUAAUGACGGUAACCGGAGAAGAAGCCCCGGCUAACUUCGUGCCAGCAGCCGCGGUAAUACGAAGGGGGCUAGCGUUGUUCGGAUUUACUGGGCGUAAAGCGCACGGAGGCGGACUAUUAAGUCAGGGGUGAAAUCCCGGGGCUCAACCCCGGAACUGCCUUUGAUACUGGUAGUCUUGAGUUCGAGAGAGGUGAGUGGAAUUCCGAGUGUAGAGGUGAAAUUCGUAGAUAUUCGGAGGAACACCAGUGGCGAAGGCGGCUCACUGGCUCGAUACUGACGCUGAGGUGCGAAAGCGUGGGGAGCAAACAGGAUUAGAAACUCUGGUAGUCCC
rnacentral:rRNA from 1 species